rnacentral:siRNA from 1 species
AAUAGUGAUGACAACAACCAA